GUUGACACGUGCUUUACAUGCGUGUGGGAGUUUCUCUCGGUGUAUUGACGCUUCGAUUUCAUUUCACGCCACCCCAAGGCCUAAGGAGAAAAGAAAAUAUAAAUU